UACGGAGGGUGCGAGCGUUGUUCGGAAUCACUGGGCGUAAAGCGCGUGUAGGCUGCUUCGCAAGUCGGAUGUGAAAGCCCUGGGCUCAACCCAGGAAGUGCAUUCGAAACUGCAAAGCUGGAGUCCUGGAGAGGAAGGCGGAAUUCUCGGUGUAGAGGUGAAAUUCGUAGAUAUCGAGAGGAACACCGGUGGCGAAGGCGGCCUUCUGGACAGUGACUGACGCUGAGACGCGAAAGCGUGGGGAGCAAACAGG
rnacentral:rRNA from 1 species